rnacentral:rRNA from 1 species
CAGUCGCCGCGGUAAUACGUAGGGCGCAAGCGUUGUCCGGAAUUAUUGGGCGUAAAGAGCUCGUAGGCGGUCUGUCGCGUCUGGUGUGAAAUCCCGAGGCUCAACCUCGGGCUUGCAUCGGGUACGGGCAGACUAGAGUGCGGUAGGGGAGACUGGAAUUCCUGGUGUAGCGGUGGAAUGCGCAGAUAUCAGGAGGAACACCGAUGGCGAAGGCAGGUCUCUGGGCCGCAACUGACGCUGAGGAGCGAAAGCAUGGGGAGCGAACAGGAUUAGAUACCCCAGUAGUCCCUGUCCUUAUACA